CUGCCAGAUGAAAGGGGCACAAACAGUUUUUGUCCGGGGUGAGAGGGGUCGGCCACGAUCUUUUUAGCUCGCUUCAGAGACCUGGAAGCGAACAAGUCCUGCAGGGACGGCAGAUUGCAGCCGAUCACCCUCUCUGCAGAGCGGAUGACACGCUGCAGCCUGCCCUUGUCCUUGGCUGUGGCUGCAGCGUACCAGACGGUGAUGGAGGAGCAGAGGAUGGACUCGAUGAUGGCCGUGUAGAAGUGGACCAUCAUCGUCUUUGGCAGGUUGAAUUUUUUCAGCUGCCUCAGGAAGAACAACCUCUGCUGAGCCUUCUUGGUGAUGGAGCUGAUGUUCAGCUCCCACUUGAGGUCCUGGGUGAUAAUGGAGCCCAGGAAACGGAAGGAAUCCACAAUAGUGACGGGGGAGUCACACAGGGUGAUGGGGGAGGGUGGGGCUCUGUUCCGCCGGAAAUCCACAACUAUCUCCACUGUCUUUAGAGCGUUGAGCUCCAGGUUGUUCUGACUGCACCAGGACACCAGAUGGUCAGACUCCCACCUGUAGGCGGACUCAUCCCCACCAGAGAUCAGUCCAAUGAGGGUGGUGUCGUCCGCAAACUUCAGGAGCUUGACGGACUGGUGGCUGGAGGUGCAGCUGUUGGUGUACAGGGAGAAGAGCAGAGGGGAAAGAACGCAGCCUUGGGGGGAACCGGUGCUGAUGGUCCGAGAGGCUGAGACAUGUUUCCCCAGCUUCACGUGCUGCUUCCUGUCAGACAGGAAGUCUGUAAUCCACUUGCAGGUGGAGUCGGGCACGUGCAGCUGGGAGAGUUUGUCCUGCAGCAGAGACGGGAUGAUGGUGUUGAAGGCAGAGCUGAAGUCCACAAACAGGGUCCUGGCAUAGGUUCCUGGGGAGUCCAGAUGCUGGAGGAUGUAGUGGAGGGCCAUGUUGACAGCAUCGUCCACAGACCUGUUGGCUCCUGUAGGCGAACUGCAGGGGGUCCAGGAGGGGGUCGGUGAGGGACUUCAGGUGGGUCAGGACUAGCCGUUCAAAAGACUUCAUGACUACAGAGGUCAGGGCGACGGGCCUGUAGUCAUUGAGUCCUGUGAUCCUGGGCUUCUUGGGAACAGGGAUGAUGGUGGAGGCCUUGAAGCAGGCUGGUACGUGGCAUGUCUCCAGGGAGGUGUUGAAGAUGUCAGUGAACACCGGAGACAGCUGGUCAGCACAAUGCUUCAGGGAGUGAGGGGAGACGGAGUCCGGACCGGCUGCCUUACGGGGAUUUAGUCUUCUAAAGAGCCGGUUAACGUCUCUCUCCAGAAUAGAGAGGGUCGUUGCUGGUGGGGGAGGGGAAGGUGAUAUAGUUGAAGAGGCGUGAGCACCUGAUGGGCUGGGGGAGGGAGGGGAGGGGGACUGCAGCAGGUUGGUGGAGCUGUGGGGGAUGGGAUCAGGACAUUGUCUUUCAAAUCUGCAGUAGAACUCAUUCAGCUCGUCUGCCAGGCGGAGGUCAUUCAUGGAGUGGGGAGUUUUUGGCUUGUAGUUGGUGAGGUGUUUGAGGCCUCUCCAGACCGAAGCAGAGUCACUUGCUGAGAACUGUUGUUGGAGUUUCUCAGAGUACAGUCGUUUAGCGUCUCUCACCGCCUUGCUAAACUUGUAUUUUGCCUCUGUGUACAAGUCUUUGUCCCCACUCCUAAAUGCCUGAUCCUUUUGCAGGCGUAGUGUGAGAUGGGAUGAGAACAAGCGGGCCGCUCAUCCUAACACCUUCGUUUGGAUUUCUACAUCAUAAAUUAAGUGAAGUCCCCUUUAGAGGAACAAAGAAACUUCAAAGAACACACACACAAAAGCCUGCCUGAAAACAUAAGAAAUGAAACAUUGCUCCCAUUGUAAAUGCCUAAGUUAAAAGAGCUGUUGCAUUGGCCGGGAAUCGAACCCGGGCCUCCCGCGUGGCAGGCGAGAAUUCUACCACUGAACCACCAAUGCUCACAUGCCUGGCAAAAUCACAGAGUCCCGUGAAUAUCCACCAGGUGCAGAGGCUACCGGAAGAUGGAGAGAUGUUGAUGGCAAAGGUUCUAACACGGUGUCACAAAUGUUUACGUGCAAACGUUCUUGCCUUUCUGAAUCUUACAAAGGCACAGCGGAAGGGAAGGAUGCUCACAGUUCUGAAGUUCAUUGAGCUCAGGCACUAUUUUCCCCCCAGAUGCAAAGAAUAAAUCCACAGGAGGAAGUGUAGGAUUUCACGGAAAUGGGCUGCUCCUACAGGUUGCCAGCUCACUCUCAGUGCAACAUUGGGUUUACCAGGCUUUUUCAGCCCCCUGUCCAACUAUCUUAUCCAGCUCACUACAGGUAGUGACUUAUAGCAGACAGCCCUGCUAUUAUCUUCACCCAGUUGUCCAAGACAUUCGGCUUCAGUUCUGAGGAUGCGACAACAAGGUUGAUCCUUGAUCUUUGGCCGUGGUUAUUCUGGUACCAAGUACACUUAUGAAUAGCCCUGUACUUGAACGUGGUCUUUGUUUUGACCGAUGACAACCACAUGAGUCCAAAAACAAAGCACGAGAUGGGAUCAGAACAAACAGGCCUGUCACUAUCAUUAUUCCAUGUCCCUAUUCUCCAAGCCAAUCAGUGUCGAGAUGCUCCGCCCGUCAUCAUCACCGUCUUGCUGCCAUUGUAAAAAAGCAUUUUCAAAAAGGGACAAUAUUGCAGGUAAGUGUAUUUGAAUAGUGUGUGUGCUAUUACAGACAUAAGUCAACAACUACACAGAUUCAAUGAGAAAACAAUGUUUAAAUGCUUAUAAAUGGAGGAGAAAACGUAACUUUGUCUAACACCUCCUACAUACUCAAUUACUGUUAUCGGAAUACAUUUUACUUUAGAGAUGAAGCUUUACAAAUGUAGCAGUCAUAUGUUGUUAUCCCUAUCACAGGCAUUUACUUAAACGUAGUAACUUACAUGAAACGACUGCAUUUGUUACAUACUUACAUACGCUUACACUAUUCACGCACUCGAGCUCUCUACACCAACUGUGUGAAGUUAGUACAAAGGAUUGUAUAGUGACUUAGUUAACGUUAGCUUAUGAUGCUAGGUUGUCUGUCUGCAUUAACGUUACCUUGAAAAGCAGUUAGCUAACACUUGUAUUAAAAUGCCGCAAAAUACAUCCAUGAUGCAACAUAUUUGACGUAGCAAUAAUUUACAACCCGAACGUAAUUAACGAUAACCAUGCACGCCAUGAAACUUGUUUCACUUACACUAGAAGAGGAGCGUGGUCACUACCAGACGCCAUUGCUUGGUGACUUUGGACCUGUUGCAUCGCCUUUGCAAGUUGCGUUGCUUUAACGUUGGAAGGCUCAUGAAGAGGGGAGGGGGAGCUGUGAUUGAUUGAAAUGAGGGUGACAUCGGAUUGGCUACAGACAGGUCCAUGUUGAAAAAAACGCAUUUGUGGAUCUGCGACCUCAGCUGUGUCUCAAAAAACCCACAUGUGUGAAGCUAUCCGCAAGUAAAUGCAGUGUGAUCCGCAGAUAUAAAUCGUAAUUUAUUGAUCUGUGAAUUUAAAUGUAUUUGUAAAUCCUUCCGUGUGCAUUUGUGAAUUGUUCCGUGCGCAUUUGUGAAUCUUCCGGUUUGUAUUUUUGAGUCGCUCUGUGCGCAUUUGCGCUUAUUGAGACUAAUCUGACCCCAUAGACAGUUCUGCAGAAUGGUCAAGUUGUUUGACAUUGCUUCACAUAUUGCUUAACACGAUAAACUUCUUUCCUUGCCUGAUGUUGCGUUUGCGGAAAGAAUCAAACAUUCUUUAAAAAAUAUGCGCUUCUUGAUCAGACCAGUGAGUGCGUGCAGAAAUGUGUACGGGCAAAUCCAUUUUCCUUCACCAUCGCAGGUUCAAAAGAAAAAAUCCACGCACCCAUCGGCCUGCGAAAAAAGGAAGAUAAAGUUAGCUUAGGGUGGAGGAUGAUGACAAGAGAACAACUCGCAUUUUUUGCAUGGCACUCAAGGCGCUGAAAUUUGCCGACCACAAACUGCCAACACUGAUGUCAACAUAGCAGAGGGUGUGAAUUGGAUGCUUAAGACAGCAGUCUGUAAAAUGGUCAUGCUGUGUGACAUUGCUUCACAUAUGGCUUAACAGAGGAGACUACACAGGAAUAACAAUAAGACUCUGUCUGAGUCGGAUUGAUGUUUUCUGUGUUAUAUCAUUUUUAAAAAUCUAAGAAAACCCUUUCAAUUCGUAGACUCCUCCAUAAUAGCCGUAUUACUGCCAUUAGAUGAAAAUUGCAUAUACAAGAAGCCCCAAAUAAGUAUAUUUAUUUUUAACAAAGGUUAAAUGUUAUUUCAGAAAGUUCAAAAAAUGCCCUCAAUUUCAUAUAAAAUGCCC
ensembl:lncRNA